CCUACGGGAGGCAGCAGUGGGGAAUAUUGCACAAUGGGGGAAACCCUGAUGCAGCGACGCCGCGUGAAUGAAGAAGUAUUUCGGUAUGUAAACUUCUAUCAGCAGGGAAGAAAAUGACGGUACCUGACUAAGAAGCCCCGGCUAACUACGUGCCAGCAGCCGCGGUAAUACGUAGGGGGCAAGCGUUAUCCGGAUUUACUGGGUGUAAAGGGAGCGUAGGCGGUUUAGCAAGUCAGAAGUGAAAGCCCGGGGCUCAACUCCGGGACUGCUUUUGAAACUGUUGAACUAGAGUGCAGGAGAGGUAAGUGGAAUUCCUAGUGUAGCGGUGAAAUGCGUAGAUAUUAGGAGGAACACCAGUGGCGAAGGCGGCUUACUGGACUGUAAAUGAUGCUGAGGCUCGAAAGCGUGGGGAGCAAACAGGAUUAGAUACCCUAGUAGUC
rnacentral:rRNA from 1 species